rnacentral:misc_RNA from 1 species
GAAAAAGUAAAAAAGACCAUCCAUUAAUGGGGUAGAAAAUUGAACCUCAUUAGUAACAAAAGACUAGUGCAGAUAAUACAUUCUUCCAAAGCAAUGUUGUUCUAUAGAACUCAAAAAUCCAUUACAUUAAACAAAAUUAUAAAACUAACAAGUUCCACUGUCAAACCAUCUCUUGUCCCAUAUCAAAACGAAAUAGCAUAAAACAUGCAAAAUUGGCCCAGGAGAAGGAAUUUAUCGCUUCUUGGAGACACCAAC